rnacentral:rRNA from 1 species
ACGCUCGACACCUACGGGAGCAGCAGUGGGGAUAUUGCACAAUGGGGGAAACCCUGAUGCAGCGACGCCGCGUGGAGGAAGAAGGUCUUCGGAUUGUAAACUCCUGUUGUUGGGGAAAAAGAGGAUGGUACCCAACAAGGAAGUGACGGCUAACUACGUGCCAACAGCCGCGGUAAUCUGAGCGGGCUGGCAAGGC